CUUUUGGUGUGAAGCGGGCUUCUCUUCUUUUUGAAGAUGUGGGCGUGCGUCUGUGUGUUUGAUGGCGGGACACAGAGGGUUGGAGCUGGGGAAACACUUCAGGAUGAAAAGUAUUGUUCCUGAUGCGUCUGUGAGGGUGUUGCCAAAGGAGAUUAACAUAUGACUCAGUGGACUGGAAAGGCAGACCCACCCUUAAUCUGUCUGGGCACAAUCUAAUCAGCUACCAGCAUUGCCAGAAUAAAUGCAGGCAGAAGAAUAUGAAAAGACCAGACUGGCUUAGCCUCCCAGGCUACAUCUUUCUCCUGUGCUGGAUGCUUCCUGCCCUCGAACAUCAGACUCCAAGUUCUUCAGCUUUGGGACUUGGACUGGCUUCCUUGCUCCUCAGUUUGCAGAUGGCCUAUUGUGGGACCUAUUACUCCUUAAUAAAUUCCCCUUUAUAUAUACAUCUAUCCUAUUAGUUAUGUCCCUCUAAGGAACCCUGACUAAUACAUCAACUCUG
rnacentral:lncRNA from 1 species